rnacentral:rRNA from 1 species
UAACCUGCCCAAGAGAUCGGGAUAACACCUGAAACAGAUGCUAAUACCGGAUAACAACAGAUGAUGCCUAUCAACUGUUUAAAAGAUGGUUCUGCUAUCACUCUUGGAUGGACCUGCGGUGCAUUAGCUAGUUGGUAGGGUAACGGCCUACCAAGGCGAUGAUGCAUAGCCGAGUUGAGAGACUGAUCGGCCACAUUGGGACUGAGACACGGCCCAAACUCCUACGGGAGGCAGCAGGU